rnacentral:rRNA from 1 species
UGGGGAAUCUUGCACAAUGGGGGAAACCCUGAUGCAGCGACGCCGCGUGAGCGAUGAAGGUUUUCGAAUCGUAAAGCUCUGUCCUAUGGGAAGAUAAUGACGGUACCAUAGGAGGAAGCCCCGGCUAACUACGUGCCAGCAGCCGCGGUAAUACGUAGGGGGCGAGCGUUGUCCGGAAUUACUGGGCGUAAAGGGUUCGCAGGCGGCAUGGCAAGUCCGAUGUAAAAGGCGAAGGCUCAACCUUCGUAAGCAUCGGAAACUGUCAAGCUUGAGUGAAGGAGAGGCAAGUGGAAUUCCUAGUGUAGCGGUGGAAUGCGUAGAUAUUAGGAGGAAUACCGGUGGCGAAGGCGACUUGCUGGACUUCAACUGACGCUGAGGAACGAAAGCGUGGGUAGCAAACAGG